rfam:Candidatus Adlerbacteria bacterium RIFCSPLOWO2_01_FTLL_54_21b rifcsplowo2_01_scaffold_66352, whole genome shotgun sequence.
CUUGAGGUAUGAGCAGUGGCUCAAAAGCUAUGCAAGAAGUCAGCAGAGUUCGUAGUACCAGACGGUAUAGUUGGUCUGAAAAGGAU